rnacentral:lncRNA from 1 species
UGAGUAGUCUUAAUUACACCAUAAACAUAGGAAUCACGAUUGUGAAUUUUCAGGGAUUUUUGGGAGGAAUUUCGGAAGAAAAAAAAAAGGGUUUUUGGGAUAAAAAGUGCAUAAAAUAUAUUCUGCAGGAUGAACAGUGCGCGAAGCGACGCACCUUGCUGUCGCUAGUCGUCGCAAAGCUUUUGCUGACUUUUGGUGGACUGUUGACUUUGACUUUUGUUGACUUAUUCACCCGAAUCUAUUUUUUCUCAAUUUUUUGCCUAGAUUUCGAUUCCGGAAUCCGUUUUCUGAAAUUAUUCUUAGUUAAUGGAGUUUGCUUAUAUUUGGCACUACUUUAACUUUAAAUUAAUUUUCGCGUUUUAAUUCAUUUGAAUUUGGUAACCUCUAGAUGGUGUAUGAUUUUAGUGUCUUGUGACUGAAUUAUCGAUGAUAAUAAUUGAUGAUUUAUUAUGAUGAGGUAUAUUCUAAAGACGAUGAUUUAGAAUAUUUGAAUUAUGAUAUCCGUAUUAUGUUGAUGUUGAAAUAAAACCAUAUGAUGGAUAUAUGCACAUUCAUGUAUUCAUAAGUUGUGUCUAUUGAUGAGUAUUCUAGAGACGAUGAUCUAGUUUACUGUUGUUUUAGAGACGAUGAUCUAAAACAUUCGGAUUAAGUUAUCCAAAAUUAUGAUGAGUUGGUACCACAUGCAUAUAGAUAUGUCUAGGUGACAUCAUAUCUAUGUGACAUUAGAAUCAAUUAGGAAUUAUGUGAUAUUCUUAAUUGUUAAAUGAUGCUUAUCAUUGUGUAUUUCCUUAUUUGUGGAUGUUUGUAUUCCUCAAAUUAUUGAGUACUCAAUAAAUGAAUAUGUUUGAGAAUGUCUAUAUGUUCUUAAUACAUAUGUGAGUUGUAUGAAUUGAAUUUAUUCAACUGUUCUAUGUUAUUUAGUGUCUGAUAUUCAAUAUACUAGUCACUAAUUAUGAUUAUGUUAUCUAACCCUCUGUUUUGUGUUUGUGCUGGACCUUAGGGGGUCCAGAUACUCAGGUUGAGGAUCAUAUAUCCCAGGAGUAGUCGCGUGCCCUUUGUUGCUCG